UAGGGAAUCUUCCACAGUGGACGAAAGUACUGAUGGAGCAACGCCGCGUGAGUGAAGAAGGGUUUCGGCUCGUAAAACUCUGUUGUAAGAGAAGAAUGACAUUGAGAGUAACUGUUCAAUGUGUGACGGUAUCUUACCAGAAAGGAACGGCUAACUACGUGCCAC
rnacentral:rRNA from 1 species